rnacentral:rRNA from 1 species
GAUGAACGCUGGCGGUGUGCUUAACACAUGCAAGUCGAACGGAAAGGCUCUUACUUCUUGGUGUACUCGAGUGCCGAACGCGUGCGUAUCACGUGUGCAUUCUGCUCUGCACUUUGGUAUAAGCCUAGGUAACUGGGCUUACUCUCGUAUAGCAUCCCACUUACGAUUGUGUGCUGGAAAGUUUUUCGGCUUGGGCUGAUCUCUCGGCCUAUGUGCUUGUUGGUGGGGUACUGGCCUAUCACGGCGUCGACGGGUAGCCCGCCUGGGAGGGGGUACGGCGACAAUAGGACUAAGAGACGGACCAGACUCCUACGGGAGGCAGCAGUGGGGAAUAUGGCACAAUGGGAGCGAGCCUGAUGAAGAGACGCCGGGUGGGGGAUGACGGCCUUCGGGUUGUAAAAAGCAUUAGCUAGGGACGAAGCGGAAGUGACGGUACCUAAAGAAGAAGCACCGGCUAACUACGUG